rnacentral:tRNA from 1 species
GCGGUUUUGGGCACCCCUCAAGGGACUGAAAAUCCCUGUGUCCCCAGUUCGAUUCUGGGAGGCGGCACCA